rnacentral:lncRNA from 1 species
UCCCGAGGAGGCGGCGGGGACCGCAGGCCUGUAAAGCCACGUGAAAACAGCUGUUUCAGUAGGAGAGAGCAGUGACCAACAGUGCUGGGAUACCUUGGCAAAUGAGAAAGCAAAUCUCUUGAAAUAUAAGCAGUGGUACUUUCCUGGAGGGAGGAGAUGGGAAUUCUCCUGUUGCUCUGAGUGUUGCCAGGUGCAAGAAGUGGUCCACAGUGGUGGUGGAGGCUGAGAAGAAGGAACAACACUGUCAGAAGGUGCUGGCUACCUUGGGAACAGGACCCACCUCUGGACAGUUAUUCUGAGUGACGGCCCUUGCA